UGUGUGUGUCUCUGUACUUGUGUUUACGUGUGUGUGUGUGUGUGUGUCUCUGUACUUGUGUUUACGUGUGUGUG